GAUGCUGGGAGCCGGAUGGGGCCCGGAGGCGCGACACCGCAGUUCUCCGUACUUGAAGACACCCAUCCAGGCCACCUUUUCAGUCGGCUGCAGGGACACGUCCUACAAGGGCGUGCUGGAGGCUGAGCUAGCAAAGCUGGGGCGAGGGCGGGACGGUGGAUCAUUCGCAGACACAUCAUCACACCAGGGUGUCCGGCACCUUACCCAAGGCCAGGAAUAGCAACUCAGAUGUUAAAUCGUGUCAAACAUCUCCAAGAUGGCACUUUUGACAACAUCUGUUUGUCCAGAUCAGCAAUGAGUCAGCAAUUGACUUCUACAGAAGUUUGGCUUUGAGAUGACUGAGACAAAGACAGAUAAAGGAUAAGAGGAUGGAGCCUGCAGAUGCUCAGGAGUUGCAGAAAAACCUCAAAGUCCCUUCCGAUCAGAAUGGAGAUAUGCAAAACACAACUGAACAAGUCACAAAAUGAACCUUCUUGCACUUGCUUGUUGACAAAAAAAGACAAGCCCAUUGAUUUUCACCCCCUCUUUCUUGUAAAGCUUUCCUGCACUGCCAUGUUUUUGUUUUUCCUUCUUUCUUUUCUUUUCAAAGUUUUAAUACUUUCAAGGACUUUAAAAAUGAUCAUGUUUGGGCCAGGCGCAGUGACUCACUCCUGUAAUCCCAGCACUUUGGGAGGCCAAGGUGGGUGGAUCACUUGAGGUCAGGAGUUCCAGACGAGCCUGGCCAACAUGGUGAAACCCCAUCUGUACUAAAAAUACAAAAAUUAGCCAGGCGUGGUGGCGUGUGCCUGUAGUCCCAAGCUACUCAGGAGCCUGAGACAGGGGAAUCGCUUGAACCUGGGAGGCAGAGGUUGCAGUGAGCCGAGAUCGUGCCACUGCACUCCAGCCUGGGCCACAGAGCAAGACUCCAUCUCAAAAAAAAAAAAAAAAAAAAAAAAAAAAAAAAGA
rnacentral:lncRNA from 1 species